CCUUCGAUAGCUCAGCUGGUAGAGCGGAGGACUGUAGUAGGUAUGCGAUAGCAAUCCUUAGGUCGCUGGUUCAAUUCCGGCUCGAAGGA
rnacentral:tRNA from 1 species